rnacentral:rRNA from 1 species
GGCAAAUUAGGUUGGAUGGUUGCUUUUAUAUUUGUUGCCUGUGCAGCACUAAGACUCGCUCGUUUUAAUGUGCAAAUAGGUUCUGUUGAUAAAAAAUACUUUAUCGGCUUACCUAGCCCUUCGGCAGCUGCGGUAGUAGCAAGUAGUGUGUGGGCUUUUAACAAGUUAGAAAUCAGUGGUGAUACAGUUGUUUAUCUUAUGGUGCCCCUAGUAGCUGCAGCGGGUAUACUAAUGGUCAGCAAUAUUAAAUACUACAGCUUUAAAACAUUAGAUUUUAAAGGAAGAGUACCCUUUAUAGUCGUACUUGUAAUCGUCCUGUUAUUUGCAGUGAUAGGAACUGCACCUGCUUAUGCAUUAUUCUUUAUGUUUAUUAGCUAUACUAUUUUUGGACCUGCACAAUAUCUACUUCACUAUAAAAAACGUCACGAUCGCAAAAAUCAAGUUGACAAAACUGAGUAAAUCUAUAUAAUCUUUCGUCCCUACUAGUUAAGGUUUUUUAUUUUCUGAUUGUUUUUAUAAUUAAAAUAAAUCAGAAAAACCUAAAAAAGACAUUGACAAAGUACAGGAAAGGCGUAGAAUGCGCGCCUCAUCUGAGAGAUAAGGUCUUGAAGAUAAAAGUUCUUUAACAAUGUAAAUCAAGUAAAUCGUGUGGGUGUUUGUAGUACUGGUAAGAAUUAUCAGUAAUAUAAAUUACUCGUCAUAGAUUGAGUUUUCGAUUAUUACUGAGCCGUUUNCCAAUCAAACUCGGAGAUAGCUCGUACUCCCCGAAAUGCAUUUAGGUGCAGCAUCGUGUUAAAUAAUACAGAGGUAGAGCUACUGAUUGGAUGAAGGGGUUUCAUCACCUACUAAUUCCUGACAAACUCCGAAUGCUGUUAUUAUGUUUCACGGUAGUGAGGGCAUGGGUGCUAAGGUCCAUGUCCAAGAGGGAAACAACCCAGACCAUCAGUUAAGGCCCCCAAGUAUAUAUUAAGUUGAACUAACGAAGUUCAGUUACUUAGACAGCUAGGAUGUUAGCUUGGAAGCAGCUAUUCAUUUAAAGAGUGCGUAACAGCUCACUAGUCGAGUGAUUGAGCGUGGAUAAUAAUCGGGCAUAAAUAUAUCGCCGAAACUAUGGGAUUGAUUAAUAAAAUCAAUCGGUAGGGGAGCAUUGUAAUGGCAGUGAAGCUAUAUUGUAAGACGUAGUGGAGCUAUUACAAAAGAAAAUGUAGGUAUAAGUAACGAUAAUGCGGGCGAGAAACCCGCACACCGAAAAACUAAGGAUUCCUCAGCUAUGUUAAUCAGCUGAGGGUUAGUCGGUCCCUAAGGUGAAACCGAGAGGUGUAGUCGAUGGAAAACCGGUUAAUAUUCCGGUACUUUCUUUUAUUGCGAUAGGGGGGACGGAGUGAUGAAACUGUCGCGUACGGACGGAAGUGUACGUUAAAGUAGUUAGGUAUAAAAUAUAUUGGAAAAUCCGUAUGUUUUGCCGAUCUAUGAUAGUACCAUAAACCUUCGGGGGAGUGGAUAGUGCAGGUAAGAGCUUCCAAGAAAAGCCUCUAAGCUUCAGAUGAAAGAAAACCGUACCAAAACCGACACAGGUAGUUGAGGAGAGAAUCCUAAGGUGCUCGAGUGAUUCACGGCUAAGGAACUAGGCAAAAUGAACCUGUAACUUCGGGAGAAAGGUAGCCUUCCUUUAGGAAGGCCGCAGAGAAGAGAUCCAGGCGACUGUUUAUCAAAAACAUAGGACUCUGCUAAAUUGAAAAAUGAUGUAUAGGGUCUGACACCUGCCCAGUACUGGAAGGUUAAAGAAAAAAGUCAGCUUAGGCAAAGCUUUUGACUGAAGCCCCAGUAAACGGCGGCCGUAACUAUAACGGUCCUAAGGUAGCGAAAUUCCUUGUCGGGUAAGUUCCGACCUGCACGAAUGGUGUAACGAUCUGGAAACUGUCUCAGCCGUGAGCUCGGUGAAAUUGUAAUAUCGGUGAAGAUGCCGAUUACUCGCAAUGGGACGAAAAGACCCUGUGAACCUUUACUAUAGCUUCGUAUUGAUUUCGAUUAAAAAAUGUGUAGGAUAGGUGGGAAACUUUGAAGCGUUGUCGUCAGGCAAUGUGGAGUUGUCCUUGAAAUACCACCCUUUUUUUAGUUGAAAUCUAACUCAAUUCAAUAAAAAUUGAGGACAUUGCGUGGUGGGUAGUUUGACUGGGGUGGUCGCCUCCAAAAAGGUAACGGAGGCUCCCAAAGGUACCCUCAACACGUUUGGUAAUCGUGUGUAGAGUGUAAUGGCAUAAGGGUGCUUGACUGUGAGACUUACAAGUCGAUCAGGUACGAAAGUAGGGCAUAGUGAUCCGGUGGUUCCGCAUGGAAGGGCCAUCGCUCAAAGGAUAAAAGGUACUCCGGGGAUAACAGGCUGAUACCGCCCAAGAGUUCAUAUCGACGGCGGUGUUUGGCACCUCGAUGUCGGCUCAUCACAUCCUGGGGCUGAAGCCGGUCCCAAGGGUAUGGCUGUUCGCCAUUUAAAGUGGUACGCGAGCUGGGUUUAGAACGUCGUGAGACAGUUCGGUCCCUAUCUGCCGUGGACGUUUGAGAUUUGAGAGGGGCUGCUCCUAGUACGAGAGGACCGGAGUGGACGAACCUCUGGUGUUCCGGUUGUCACGCCAGUGGCAUUGCCGGGUAGCUAUGUUCGGAAGAGAUAACCGCUGAAAGCAUCUAAGCGGGAAACUUGCCUCAAGAUGAGAUCUCACUGGGGAUAUAAUCCCCCUAAAGGGCCGUUGA